rnacentral:rRNA from 1 species
CAGUCGCCACGGGAAUACCAGCACCUCGAGUGGUCAGGAGGUUUAUUGGGCCUAAAGCAUCCGUAGCCGGUUGCAUAAGUUUUCGGUUAAAUCUAUGCGCUUAACGUAUAGGCCGCCGAAAAUACUGUGCAGCUAGGGAGUGGGAGAGGUACACGGUACUCGAUAGGAAGGGGUAAAAACCUUUGAUCUAUUGAUGACCACCUGUGGCGAAGGCGGUGUACCAGAACACGUUCGACGGUGAGGGAUGAAAGCUGGGGGAGCAAACCGGAUUAGAUACCCCUGUAGUCCCUGUCUCUUAUAC